CUUUACAAUUUUAAAUUAUAUAUCAACAAAGAAGUCAAUAAUUUGAUUACUUUCUUUAGAUUUCUACAUCGAUGAUUUCACGCAAGUGGACUACGAAGCUAUCGAUAGCACGGUGAGGAGCAGCAUAAAUCCGGCCAUUUUCCGAGGCAAUUUAGAGACCAUCCUCCCCGCAGAACCUCCGCUGCCGAUCAGCGAAAGACCGCGGCGAGAAGACGACGUUAUUUUCGUCUACACACACCAAGAGAAUUGCAGGAAAAUACGUUUUAAAACCGAAGCGGUAAUCGAGAAUAUACAGACCCAGCCACAGCGAAAAGAAGAAGAAGAAGAAGACGACGUUAUUUUCGUCACCGCAUACCAGGAGAACUGCAGGAAAAUACGUUUUAAAUCCGAAGCUGAAAUUGAGAAUAUACCUAUUCAAACCCCCGCUACAGACAAUCGGGCGGAGGAGCGAGAGAAUAUACCAACCGAUACAGAAAAUCAGGCGGAGGAAGCCUCCGGAGCUCCUCCUCUCAGGAGACUCAGAGGCCGACGGCGAUUUCAUAAGAGGAGGAUCCUCGGAGACCUCACUUUCAUGUACGCCAUAACCGUCCGUACCUAUGCAUCAAUAUAUCGACACAAGGAUCUGUAAAGGGAUGCAAAGUAAAAGCAU